rnacentral:rRNA from 1 species
UACGGAGGGGGCUAGCGUUAUUCGGAAUUAUUGGGCGUAAAGGGCGCGUAGGCGGCCCGGUAAGUCAAAGGUGAAAUCCCUCGGCUCAACUGAGGAACUGCCUUUGAAACUGUCGGGCUUGAGGCCGGGAGGGGGUAGCGGAAUUCCCAGUGUAGCGGUGAAAUGCGUAGAUAUUGGGAGGAACACCGGUGGCGAAGGCGGCUACCUUGACCGGUUCUGACGCUGAUGCGCGAAAGCGUGGGUAGCAAACAGG